AGGACGAACGCUGGCGGCGUGCUUAACACAUGCAAGUCGAACGGUGAACCAGGGCUUGCCCUGGGGAUCAGUGGCGAACGGGUGAGUAACACGUGACCAACCUGCCCUUGGCUCUGGGGAUAACCCCGGGAAACCGGAGCUAAUACCGGAUACGAGUUCGUGUGGCAUCACACGAACUGGAAAGUUUUUCGGCCAAGGAUGGGGUCGCGGCCUAUCAGCUUGUUGGUGGGGUAAUGGCCUACCAAGGCGACGACGGGUA
rnacentral:rRNA from 1 species